rnacentral:rRNA from 1 species
UACGGGGGGGGGUAAGCGUUGUUCGGAAUUACUGGGCGUAAAGGGUCUGUAGGUGGCUUGCUAAGUCAGACGUGAAAUCCCUCAGCUUAACUGGGGAACUGCGUCUGAGACUGGCGAGCUUGAGUGCAGGAGAGGAACGCGGAAUUCCAGGUGUAGCGGUGAAAUGCGUACAUAUCUGGAGGAACACCGGUGGCGAAGGCGGCGUUCUGGACUGCAACUGACACUGAGAGACGAAAGCCAGGGGAGCAAACGGG